GCUAAAGGUCACUACGAUGGGUACAACGUCUACAUCUACAGAGACGGUAAGCUAAAGGUCACUACGAUGGGUACAACGUCUACAUCUACAGAGACGGUAAGCUAAAGGUCACUACGAUGGGUACAACGUCUACAUCUACAGAGACGGUAAGCUAAAGGUCACUACGAUGGGUACAACGUCUACAUCUACAGAGACGGUAAGCUAAAGGUCACUACGAUGGGUACAACGUCUACAUCUACAGAGACGGUAAGCUAAAGGUCACUACGAUGGGUACAACGUCUACAUCUACAGAGACGGUAAG